UACGGAGGGUGCAAGCGUUAUCCGGAUUCACUGGGUUUAAAGGGAGCGUAGGCGGCCUGUUAAGUCGGACGUGAAAUCCCUCGGCUCAACCGGGGAACUGCGUCUGAUACUGGAUGGCUUGAGUUCGGGAGAGGGAUGCGGAAUUCCAGGUGUAGCGGUGAAAUGCGUAGAUAUCUGGAGGAACACCGGUGGCGAAGGCGACAUCCUGGACCGGUAUUGACGCUGAGGCGCGAAAGCCAGGGGAGCAAACGGG
rnacentral:rRNA from 1 species